rnacentral:rRNA from 1 species
ACUCCUACGGGAGGCAGCAGUGGGGAAUAUUGCACAAUGGGCGCAAGCCUGAUGCAGCCAUGCCGCGUGUAUGAAGAAGGCCUUCGGGUUGUAAAGUACUUUCAGCGGGGAGGAAGGCGAUAAGGUUAAUAACCUUGUCGAUUGACGUUACCCGCAGAAGAAGCACCGGCUAACUCCGUGCCAGCAGCCGCGGUAAUACGGAGGGUGCAAGCGUUAAUCGGAAUUACUGGGCGUAAAGCGCACGCAGGCGGUCUGUCAAGUCGGAUGUGAAAUCCCCGGGCUCAACCUGGGAACUGCAUUCGAAACUGGCAGGCUAGAGUCUUGUAGAGGGGGGUAGAAUUCCAGGUGUAGCGGUGAAAUGCGUAGAGAUCUGGAGGAAUACCGGUGGCGAAGGCGGCCCCCUGGACAAAGACUGACGCUCAGGUGCGAAAGCGUGGGGAGCAAACAGGAUUAGAAACCCUGGUAGUCCCAUGAU